UACAGAGGGGGCAAGCGUUGUUCGGAAUUACUGGGCGUAAAGGGCGCGUAGGCGGCCUGCUAAGUCGAACGUGAAAUCCCUGGGCUCAACCCAGGAACUGCGUCCGAUACUGGUUGGCUUGAAUCCGGGAGAGGGAUGUGGAAUUCCAGGUGUAGCGGUGAAAUGCGUAGAUAUCUGGAGGAACACCGGUGGCGAAGGCGACAUCCUGGACCGGUAUUGACGCUGAGACGCGAAAGCGUGGGGAGCAAACAGG
rnacentral:rRNA from 1 species